rnacentral:rRNA from 1 species
UACAGAGGGUGCGAGCGUUAAUCGGAAUUACUGGGCGUAAAGCGUGCGUAGACGGUUAUGUAAGUCGGAUGUGAAAGCCCCGGGCUUAACCUGGGAAUGGCAUUCGAGACUGCAUAGCUAGGAUGCGGAAGAGGGAAGUGGAAUUUCCGGUGUAGCGGUGAAAUGCGUAGAUAUCGGAAGGAACACCAGUGGCGAAAGCGACUUCCUGGUCCAGCAUCGACGUCAGGCACGAAAGCGUGGGGAGCAAACAGG